UACUCUCAGUGUCUGCCCCA
rnacentral:piRNA from 1 species